GAUGAACGCUGGCGGCGUGCCUAAUACAUGCAAGUCGAGCGAACAGACGAGGAGCUUGCUCCUCUGACGUUAGCGGCGGACGGGUGAGUAACACGUGGAUAACCUACCUAUAAGACUGGGAUAACUUCGGGAAACCGGAGCUAAUACCGGAGCAUAUAUUGAACCGCAUGGAUCAAUAGUGAAAGACGGUUUUGCUGUCACUUAUAGAUGGAUCCGCGCCGCAUUAGCUAGUUGGUAAGGUAACGGCUUACCAAGGCAACGAUGCGUAGCUGACCUGAGAGGGUGAUCAGCCACACUGGAACUGAGACACGGUCCAGACUCCUACGGGAGGCAGCAGUAGGGAAUCUUCCGCAAUGGGCGAAAGCCUGACGGAGCAACGCCGCGUGAGUGAUGAAGGUCUUCGGAUCGUAAAACUCUGUUAUUAGGGAAGAACAAAUGUGUAAGUAACUAUGCCCGUCUUGACGGUACCUAAUCAGAAAGCCCCGGCUAACUACGUG
rnacentral:rRNA from 1 species